rnacentral:rRNA from 1 species
AUCCUGGCUCAGGAUGAACGCUGGCGGCGUGCCUAACACAUGCAAGUCGAACGAAGCACUGGAACAGAUUUCUUCGGAUUGACGUUCCUUUGACUUAGUGGCGGACGGGUGAGUAACGCGUGGAUAACCUGCCUGUAUCUGGGGGAUAACAGUUAGAAAUGACUGCUAAUACCGCAUAAGCGCACGACACCGCAUGGUGACGUGUGAAAAGCCUUGUGCGGAUACAGAUGGAUCCGCGUUAGAUUAGCCAGUUGGCGGGGUAACGGCCCACCAAAGCGACGAUCUAUAGCCGGCCUGAGAGGGCGACCGGCCACAUUGGGACUGAGACACGGCCCAAACUCCUACGGGAGGCAGCAGUGGGGAAUAUUGCACAAUGGGGGAAACCCUGAUGCAGCGACGCCGCGUGAGUGAUGAAGUAUUUCGGUAUGUAAAACUCUAUCAGCAGGGAAGAAAAUGACGGUACCUGACUAAGAAGCCCCGGCUAACUACGUGCC